rnacentral:rRNA from 1 species
CGGACGGGUGAGUAACGCGUGGAAAACCUGCCGUAUACUGGGGGAUAACACUUAGAAAUAGGGUGCUAAUACCGCAUAAGCGCACAGCUUCGCAUGAAGCGGUGUGAAAAACUCUGGUGGUAUACGAUGGUUCCGCGUCUGAUUAGCUAGUUGGUGGGGUAAUGGCCUACCAAGGCAACGAUCAGUAGCCGGCCUGAGAGGGUGAACCGGCCACAUUGGGACUGAGACACGGCCCAAACUCCUACGGGAGGCAGCAG